rnacentral:rRNA from 1 species
GACAGAGGGUGCAAACGUUGUUCGGAAUUACUGGGCGUAAAGCGCGUGUAGGCGGCUUGGCAAGUCGGGUGUGAAAGCCCUGGGCUCAACCUAGGAAGUGCACUCGAAACUGCUUCGCUUGAGUGUCGGAGAGGAAAGCGGAAUUCUCGGUGUAGAGGUGAAAUUCGUAGAUAUCGAGAGGAACACCGGUGGCGAAGGCGACUACCUGGCCCACUCUUGACGCUGAGGCGCGAAAGCUAGGGGAGCAAACGGG